CUGGGGAACCUCAUGGCCUUCACUGGCUGUGGGGGGAACCAGGACUUUUACUGUGAAAAUUAGAGUGUUCAAAGCAGGCCUUUGCUCGAAUACAUUAGCAUGGAAUAAUAGAAUAGGACGUGUGGUUCUAUUUUGUUGGUUUCUAGGACCGCCGUAAUGAUUAAUAGGGAUAGUCGGGGGCGUCAGUAUUCAGCUGUCAGAGGUGAAAUUCUUGGGAUUUGCUGAAGACUAACUACUGCGAAAGCAUUUCGCCAAGGAUGUUUUCAUUAAUCAGGGAACGAAAGUUAGGGGAUCGAAGACGAUCAGAUACCGUCGUAGUCUUAACCAUAAACUAUGCCGACUAGGGAUCGGACGGGAUUCUAUAAUGACCCGUUCGGCACCUUACG
rnacentral:rRNA from 1 species